rnacentral:lncRNA from 1 species
GUUCUUCCUCAAGAUUGUGAAGAAUGGCAAACACCUGUCUGCUGAUUUGAAGACAAAUCUGUUAAGCACGACUACUAGCUCAGUCAUCUGUUGCGCGUCAUGUAUGUUCUUGGGCGAUCUCAUGGAGAGUAGGGCUUGAAUCUUGUCCGGUUGGCUUCAAUUCCUCACUUGAUCACCAGGAAGCCUAGGAAUUUACCUUAGGAUACACCAAAGAUGCAUUUGGAUGGAUUUAGCAUUAUUCAAUGUUUUCGUAGGAUGCCAAAUGUUUCUUCCAAGUGGGCGAUGUGUUCAGCAGCUUUAAGGCUUUUGACGAGCAUAUCAUUUAUGUAUACUUCCAUUGUUUUCCCAAUCAUUUCUUCGAAUAUUUUAUUGACCAAUCUUUGAUGCGUCACCCCAGCAUUCUUUAACCCAAAUGGCAUGACCUUGUAGCAGUACAACCCUUUUUCUGUAAUAAAAGAAGUAUUCUUCACGUCGGGCAUAUGCAUUUUGAUCUGAUGAUAACCGAAUAAGGCGUUCAUAAAACUGAGAAGCUCAUUCUUGGAGGUUAUGUCAACAAUCAGAUCAAAAUUUGGCAAGGAAAAACUAUCUUUUAGGCAGGCCUUGUUAAAAUCGGUAAAGUCAACACAUACUCUUUACUUCCUCCCCUUUUGGGGGCGACAAACAACGUUGGCGAGCCAAUCUGGAUAGUGAACUUCUUUUAUGACAUUGGCUUUUAUGAACUUAGCCACUUCUUCCUCUAUGACUUUCAGUCAUUUAAAGGCAAAUUUUUUUCUCUUUUACCGAAACGGAGUAUGGUCUAGUUUUGUGAGUAAUUUGUGAAUGACGACUUGGGGGUCUAUUCCUAGAACAUCGCCUUGUGACCAAGCAAACAUAUCAUAGUUCUUCUUCAAAAAUUCCACCAGAGCGCUUCGCAACUCUUCACUAAGCUCGAUCCCGAUCAUAACAUGGUAAUCCAAAAAACCGAGAUGUAAGGGUAAUUUCUUCCAAAUUCUUGGUGUUUUCCGUUUCUCUGGGAUUAGUAAGGGUAAUCUCUUCCAUCUCAUCUCUCAAUGCCUCUAUUUCAACAUCGUCAAUCUGUAACAGCUAUUGGGUGCUGGUCUUUGAAGAAGAUUCAAUCCUCAUGGCUGAGAUAAAGCAUUGUCUAGCAAACUUUUGAUCGCCCCUCACCUCACUUACACCUGUUAAAGUAGGAAUUUUCAUUAUCAAGUGGUACGUCGAGGUGAUGACUUUGAUACCUCCCAAUGUUGGGCGACCUAGGAUUGCGUUGUAGGGCGACAGACAAUCUACCACAAUAAAAUCCUACUAUACAGUGGUCUGGUGAGGCUACAUUCCCAAGGUCACCGACAAUUUGAUCCACCUGAGAGGUUGUGUUGCAUUUCCUUCGAACUCGACCAAAGGGCUAUAAAAGGAUGGAGUUUUUCUCGCCCAAUCUUUAUUUUGUCGAAGGCCGAGACAAACAAGAUAUUUGCAAAACUCCCAUUGUCAAUCAAGAUUCUCUAUACAUUGAAACUAGCGAUGGUAGUAGAGAUGACCAAGGCAUCAUCAUGGGAAAGGAGCAAGCCUCUUAGGUCGUCGUUGGUGAAGGUAAUAGAUAGGUGAGCUCCAAUUGCGGGCGAGGAGAGAUUAUAAACCUCUUCCUCAGCUCGCCCAUUAGCAUUCCUGGCGUGUCUCUUACGAGACAAACUUGAGCAUUCUCCUAAUCCAAAUCCACCAUGGAUUACUUGUAUAUCCCCUGCAGUAGGUUUGUUGUCACCAUACCUCAUUUUCCGGUGAGUCACGCUGCGGGCGCUCAGCAACAUACUUUCUCAAGUAUCCUCUUUUAAUUAAGUCAGCUAUCUGCUCUUUCAACUGAAAACAAUCCUCAAUUUUAUGGCCGUGAUCUCAUUAGAAUUCACAAUACUUAUUUUUGUUUCUCUUCUGUGGGUCAGUCUUAAUUUUUUUAAGCCACUUAACGAACUUUUUGUACUUAAUCUCCGUAAGCACCUGGGCGAUGGGAGCAUUGAGAGGUGGUAAUACUAGGCCAGGUAGGCGAGGUGGGGUGCGAGGACGCCUGUCAUUGAUUCUUCUUCUUGAGUCUCGGUCCGAUCUUCUGCUCUUUACCUUAUCCUUAUAGUCAGGUCGCCUAGCUUUAGGCUCCUUCCUCUUAUAUUCUUCUCUCCAUUGGCUAAUUCUUUUGCGGUAAUGUAUUUGUCGACCUUCCUCUAGAGUGCCAACUAGGUUUUAGGAACAUUCUUGGAAAUGGAGUCAAAUAACGGACCAAGGCAUAGUCCUUCCAUCAUCACCAUGACCACCUUUUUGUCACUGACACCCUCCACCUCUAACAUGACCUGGUUGAAUCUCUUAACGUAAUCUUUAAAACUUUCCCCUUCCUUUUGUUGAACUAUGAACAAGUGGGACACAUUCUUUUGCCUGACCCUGCAACUCAUGAAAUUGGCGACAAAAAGUCUACUCAGCUCGCUAAAAGAAUCAAUGGUUCCUGGCGAUAGCUUUUUGAACCAGGUUCUUGCUGAGCCCUUCAAGGUUACCAAGAAAGCUUUGGACAUCACCUUGUCUAAAUAUCCCUGCAGUAUCAUCAGAUUUCUAUAUGAGUCAAGGUGGUCCAUAAGGUCGGUCUUCCCUUCAUACGUUCUGAGCUAGGACGGUAGUUUGAACUUAGAUGAAACUCUUGCCCUCAUUACACCAUCUAUGAACAGGGGCUCAGCCUGUCGUACUAAGACAUCUAUGGUAACUGACGCAUUAACACCUAUGUCGAUGGCGUCAGUCUUUGCGUCCACAUCCCUAAUCUUUUGUGUAGUUGAUUACUCUUUACACCUAUGAGCUUGAUCAUUACGGCGAGGUGACCAUCCCCUCAUUUUAAUUUCCUUGCCUUCUACUUCGUGAGUUCGGCUGGAUGAUUCAAAUUUUGAUGUAGGUUCUUUCUCGCCUGAUUGUACACUCGUUGAUUGGGAUUGGCGAUUUCGGGCCCGAAUAGUGCUUUGACAACUUCAGGAUUCACGACCGUCUGAUCAGCGAGAAUGGAAAGACCGUUCAACUUCAGGUGGGAUAGGUGCUCUUGGAGGUAAUGGAUUGUUCGUGGCGAGGUGUUGUAUCUGGCGGGCAUUAUUCUCAUUCAUGAUUUAGAUCUGCUCGGCGAUCCCAUGCAUUUCACGGUGGAGACCCUGAAGAUCUAGAGCUUGGUUAUUGCCUGCCAUCGCGUGACCUAGGUUACCCACAUGGCUGCUGGUACUUGGCCGAGAUAAUAAAUGGUUGCGCAGGUGCAUAGAAAUUAGAAAUCUUUUGUUCCCAUAGACAGUGCCAAACUAUUGUGGUAGAAAUCUGGGUGCGAGCAACCAACAGUCAAAAUUGCUCGUGACCUCGGUACUGGACCUCGGCUAGAUAUGUGCGACCUGCGCAAGCAAAGGAACAAACAUUACCGGUCGGGGUGAGGCCGCUCAAAACCCCUCCAACAUAGGAAUUAGACCAAGGCAAGGAUAAGCUCGGCAAAGCACCAGAGCUCUCAGAACGAAAUUGUAAGGAUUAUGUGAUUGCACAAGCAUACCUUUGAAUGAUGGGAGAUCGGCCUUUUUAUAGUUGGAGAAGGGAGAACUGUGUAAGGAAACCUCGGCGUGAUCCUCGGACGGCUAAGUAUGGAAGGAGAUCCCGAAGAUAUCGGAGUAAACAUAGGAGAAUGCCAUAUGGAGAAUAAAUCGCAAUUAUAGACGAUGUGGUGGAGAAAAGGUCUCAUGCAGCUGGAGUCCACUUGGAGGUAACGUCCUCUGGUAGGCGACGUUCAACCUCGCCCUUUGACGAGACGGAUAGAGGCGAGCUUAUGAGUUUCAUCUAAAGGAGGGCGAUAUGGAAAGAGGAGAACAUAGUGCCAUGGCGAGACGAAUACCUUUGUUCAUUUUAUCCCUCAUCAGUUACAAUAGCAGUUUUGAGCGGGUUCAGUUUGGGUUGAAUUUAGAAUGCUAUAAUAACGGUCCGGAUUUGUUCCAAAUCCGUAAGUCACUACUUCUGUCUAGAUCGGACCAUUGAACUGCCCAAUCCAUUGUCGGGUUUGGACGAGCCCAAAUGAUUUAUGCCCUGGCUGGAUCAGCCCAGUCCGUUCAUUUUUUUAUUUUAUUUUUACUCAUUCUUUCUUUUUCUUGUUAAAUUUUGGAGACACAUCGACACACUUGUAAUCAAUGUAAUGUCAUAUUUUUUACUCAUGUUUAUGUUUCUUAAUGUUAUAAAUAUUUCUUUAUUAUUUAAAAAAUAUUAAAAUUGUAAAUUAUAUUUUAGUAAUUUACAACAACAAUGUGUUUCUAUUGAAUAAUAAACUAAAAAUUUACUAAAAAAAUAGAAAGAUGAAAGAGAUUGAUUUUAUUUAUUGAAAAAUAAUGUCAAAUGCAUUGAUUGAAAAAUUAACAUAAACAAACCACUAAAAUAAAUUUGAAAGUUGAGAUUUGCAUCACUAUAGUUAAGUACAUUCCAACUAAGUUGACACCUCUACUUAACCAUCAUUCAUUUGUAUUACUCAUUGUUUUCUUACAAAGUCAAAUAUUAAAAAAAAAAUUGACUAAUUAUUGUCUUCGUUCUUUUUAUCAUCCAAUAGAUCCAUUGUUUUGAAAGAUUCUAGGACGUAACUAUCUUCUGUAAUAACAUUUUGAAUUUGGUACUUGGCAUCAUUCCAAUCUUUAAUACAAAUUUGACACUCUAGUAUCUCUGAGCUCAACGAGCUUCUCCUCUCAUCCAUUGUCGAUUAUUUGUACUAAAAGCUGCCUCUGAUGUCACAGUUGAUGCCGAAAGGUUAGUAGAUCACGUGCCAUGAUGGAACGUAUCAAAAUAUUUCUUAUGUGGUCUCUCCACUAUAUCAAAAUAUUUAAACUCUCUUUCUUAUUCUUCGUUAGAAAAUCACUAAAGUCUAUGUUUAAGUAUUUAUAAAGUUCAGUAUGUAAUGAAACACUAGUACUUUGCCUACGAACGUUAGAUGUUGCACUACAACCAUUCUUACCUCUUACGCCACUAGUGAAAGUAGAUUG